rnacentral:rRNA from 1 species
GGAUUGUAGUCUGCAACUCGACUACAUGAAGCUGGAAUCGCUAGUAAUCGCGGAUCAGAAUGCCGCGGUGAAUACGUUCCCGGGUCUUGUACACACCGCCCGUCACACCAUGGGAGUCGGAAAUGCCCGAAGUCUGUGACCGAACCGAAAGGAAGGAGCAGCCGAAGGCAGGUCGGAUGACUGGGGUGAAGUCGUAACAAGGUAGC